AUUGAACGCUGGCGGCAUGCCUUACACAUGCAAGUCGAACGGUAACAGGUCAAGCUGACGAGUGGCGAACGGGUGAGUAAUAUAUCGGAACGUGCCCAGUAGUGGGGGAGUAGCCGGCGAAAGCCGGAUUAAUACCGCAUACGACCUACGGGUGAAAGCGGGGAGUCGCAAGACCUCGCGCUAUUGGAGCGGCCGAUAUCAGAUUAGCUAGUUGGUGGGGUAAAGACUCACCAAGGCGACGAUCUGUAGCUGGUCUGAGAGGACGACCAGCCACACUGGGACUGAGACACGGCCCAGACUCCUACGGGAGGCGAGCAGUGGGGAAGUUUUGGUACAAUGGACGCAAGUC
rnacentral:rRNA from 1 species